AACCCAUUCAUAGACCCAUCAGUGUUGAGAGUGAUCCAAUCACAAGGAGGGGGUGCCAUCUGAUAAGUUGUUCUUCUCUGGAUCUUCUGUGAAUUCUUCUUUGCUUCUUGUCAAAAGCUUCCCUAAUCUCUUCUACUUCCUUCAAAAUCUGCAAGCGAGGGUGGGGCGGCCUCCGAUAGUUCUGCUCGUGGACCUCCCGAUUUCUCCAAAUCCAAAUCUUCCAAGCGGCGACGAUGAAGAUGUCUUUCCACUUGAGGUUAGGGUUUAUAUUCAAUUGAUUGAAUAAGUUGAAUUUGGUCGAAUUUUCAAAAUUA